UUUUCCUACGGGAGGCAGCAGUGGGGAAUAUUGCGCAAUGGGGGAAACCCUGACGCAGCAACGCCGCGUGCGGGAUGAAGGCUUUCGGGUUGUAAACCGCUUUCAGCAGGGAAGAUAAUGACGGUACCUGCAGAAGAAGCCCCGGCUAACUACGUGCCAGCAGCCGCGGUAAUACGUAGGGGGCAAGCGUUAUCCGGAUUUACUGGGUGUAAAGGGAGCGUAGACGGCGCGGCAAGUCUGAAGUGAAAGGCAGGGGCUUAACCCCUGAACUGCUUUGGAAACUGCCAUGCUAGAGUGCUGGAGAG
rnacentral:rRNA from 1 species